GGGAGGUCAGGCCUACAGGCCAGAAAAAUCCUAUGUAAAUUUUAGCCAAGCUGAGAGCAAUGUUAAGGCCUCUUGGUCAUACCUUACUAAGGGAUCAUUUUAAUAUAUUGUUUAAAAUACUCAAGGAAUUCUGUGCCAUCUAAGUAGUAGAAGAUUUUUAUUCAUUUAUUCUAGGGAAAACAUUAGCUGAUUGUGCACACUAUGUAUGCGGGAGGAGUAGGUUGCUUGAAUGGAGUCACAACGUCAUGGUAAUCUGCUCCUGGCAGAAACUGCGAUGGAUUUGGUUAGUUUUGACUGAGUUUCUGAAUCAGAGGGUUCUACAAGGACAGAGAAAUGUCUGAGGUCAGGACAAGUCAAGAAGGACUCAAGUACCUGACUAAAGGUUUACUCAAAGGAAAC
rnacentral:lncRNA from 10 species